GCAGAUAUGGCGGAAUUGGCAGACGCGCUAGCUUCAGGUGCUAGUGGGGGCAACCUCGUGCAGGUUCAACUCCUGUUAUCUGCACCA
rnacentral:tRNA from 2 species